UAGGAAAAGCAGGACCAAGAGGUA
rnacentral:piRNA from 1 species